UCGGCUUAACCGGAGAAGUGCAUCGGAAACUGGAUAACUUGAGUGCAGAAGAGGGUAGUGGAACUCCAUGUGUAGCGGUGGAAUGCGUAGAUAUAUGGAAGAACACCAGUGGCGAAGGCGGCUACCUGGUCUGCAACUGACGCUGAGACUCGAAAGCAUGGGUAGCGAACAGGAUUAGAUACCCUGGUAGUCCAUGCCGUAAACGAUGAGUGCUAGGUGUUGGAGGGUUUCCGCCCUUCAGUGCCGGAGCUAACGCAUUGAGCACUCCGCCUGGGGAGUACGACCGCAAGGUUGAAACUCAAAGGAAUUGACGGGGGCCCGCACAAGCGGUGGAGCAUGUGGUUUAAUUCGAAGCUACGCGAAGAACCUUACCAGGUCUUGACAUCUUGCGCCAACCCUAGAGAUAGGGCGUUUCCUUCGGGAACGCAAUGACAGGUGGUGCAUGGUCGUCGUCAGCUCGUGUCGUGAGAUGUUGGGUUAAGUCCCGCAACGAGCGCAACCCUUGUUACUAGUUGCCAGCAUUAAGUUGGGCACUCUAGUGAGACUGCCGGUGACAAACCGGAGGAAGGUGGGGACGACGUCAGAUCAUCAUGCCCCUUAUGACCUGGGCUACACACGUGCUACAAUGGACGGUACAACGAGUCGCGAACUCGCGAGGGCAAGCAAAUCUCUUAAAACCGUUCUCAGUUCGGACUGCAGGCUGCAACUCGCCUGCACGAAGUCGGAAUCGCUAGUAAUCGCGGAUCAGCAUGCCGCGGUGAAUACGUUCCCGGGCCUUGUACACACCGCCCGUCACACCAUGAGAGUUUGUAACACCCAAAGUCGGU
rnacentral:rRNA from 1 species